AGUCUCUAUGUGAAUCUCUUCCCGACCGGCCAGGCCGAAUCGGGGCACCACUUGGGAUGGGAAUGGCUCAGCCCACAUGCAUCAUUUGAUGAAAGCACUCCAGUCGCCUCCGAUGAUUGGUUUGUCAACCACGCUUUCUCUCCCUCAAAACAAUGCUCUGAACACGAAAGUGUGCAGUUCCGCCCCCUUCUCCCAUGCUGAGUCACAGGCAGCGCCUCGGAAAGCACGGACGAGCCACAUGCAGGGAAACUUGCACGCAAAGUGUGCAGUUCCGCCCCCUUCUCCUAUGCUGAGUCACAGGCAGUGCCUCGGAAAGCAUGGACGAAAAACAUGGACCAAUGAUAUACCAAAAAGUUUCUGGACUCUGUUCAGACAACAAAGGUACAGAACAAGUCAUAUAAAAGAAUAAUUUCAAUUCCAAGAAACAAAAAAAUAAUAAUUGCAGUAUGAUGCAUCUUGUUUACAUAACAUUCAGUUGGGAAAAAAAUUGCUAACAAACACGUGUUAGCUUUUUCCAUGUCUAUCUAUCUAGUAGAAUUGGUGCCACCAAUCAUCUCGAACAAUGUCGUCUCCUCUGUUUGCGCAAGUUCGACGAAACCUUUUAUGUGAUUCCUUCCGCUUUUUCAACAGAGAACUUCCUCAAAAAGUAGAUCAACUCGCAUCAGUAGGGUAAAGUCGAACAGUGGGAAGCCGUGAUACCAUUUAAUUUCGCAUAGAAAAAUUAAAACAAGAAGCGCAAGAAACCAACAACCCCUGGGAAGCCGUGAUACCAUCCACAUGACUUUUAAUUUCGCAUAGAAAAAUAAAAACAAGAAGGAGACAAGAAGCGCAAGAAACCAACAACCCUUCAAUGAUCUGCAAUUAUUCUCUAAAUGAGUCCGGAUUGACUCUGCGGUAAAAAUACAGUGAGAACAAAGAAUUGGAGUAUUGUGAAAGAAUAUUUAAAUUCGCAGUGAAAACAGAGAGAGAAGAAAGAAUUACUCCUAUGGAAUUAGGAGCAAAUAACAAUGGCGAUAGCCGAUAGCUCAUUACACUAGGCCCUGCUUUUACAAGGGCGAAUGGAUUGAUAGUGCUGUUCAACAAGCUACUCGGGAGGUGUCUGUGUGAAGAAGCUGUUAUUUGUGGAAGGAGGAUGAUAAUGUAGGGUCUCACUCCGACAUUUGGGGGCAAAUGACGAAGGUUUGGGUUCUCAGAAGCCUCUGCUUCGCUGAAGGUAGAAGAUGGAAGGGCUAGAAUGGGAAAACCUAGGGGAGAGGCACG
rnacentral:lncRNA from 1 species